rnacentral:misc_RNA from 1 species
UCCGAGUUGACCCCGGCAGUCUCCCAUGAGUCCCCGCCAUUACGCGCUGGCAACAUGGAACGAGGGUUGCGCUCGUUGCGGGACUUAACCCAACAUCUCACGACACGAGCUGACGACAGCCAUGCACCACCUGCACACCAACCACAAGGGAAGCCCUAUCUCUAGGGAUAUCUGGUGCAUGUCAAACCCAGGUAAGGUGGGGAUGACGUAACACAGACUAUAC